rnacentral:lncRNA from 1 species
UUAAAACCUGACUGCGCUUGCGUAGACCUUCCUGUCUGACUGUCCGAAGAAAGCGCCUCGGGGUAGGCCACGCCCACACACCGCCGGACAGGCCACGCCUAUACGCGGAAGCGAGCAGGAGGCGAGGCCUCCGGAGGAAGGGAGCGAAUGGGAACUAUGUCACCUGACCGGGCCUUGAAGCUCGCCCGCGCCAUUUUUGUUACUGAGAGUCUGUUCCUCUGUUUCUGUGUUUUUGAACUUGGAAUACUGGCAAUGUGCUCAAGCUCCAGCUAAAGGGAAACCUAAUUUGCAUCUAUUUUUCCAUGUAUGCUGAAAGACUCAGAAACGGAUGUCCAGGACUCAAGAAACCAAAUACCAAGUGUAGGAGAGAAAAAGCAGUAUUUUCCUUACCAAUCUUAAGCCUGA